CACAGAGCACACAGGCAGUUUGCAGAGAAGGAUGCAACCCACACCAUGUCCGAAGCGGGCUCUGGGGAAGGCAAGGUUUGAUUGUUUCUCAGGUUGUUUUACUGCCCUGCCCACACCCUCCCACCCAGAGAAGUUAUUCCUUCUGCAGCUGUGUGCGAUUUUUUCAGAAAGAGUUUUAGUCUUUGUUUUUCCCAAGACUUUGUAUUGCCUUUUCUCCUCUUCUUGGGCUUGAGUUUAGAUGGGACAUAACAGGAAAGGGCAAUGAAUCCCAAACCCAUUUUAUUUUUUGGUUCAUUUGUUGAUUUAUUUUUAUCUCAGCAAUAAUUUAGUGAGAAAGAAGGUUAAUAUGAUGACAAAAAUAUGGGUUUGGAAGACCCUUAGUGAGUUUUAAGAAGACAGGCCACCAUAGCAGCUGUAGCUAAAUAAGCAUUUGCUGUAUAAGUCAAUUACUAAAAAUUGUGUGUUGUCUACUUAGAAAUGUUUCUUGGGGUGUUUAUUAAGGUGUGUGACUUUGAGAAUGAGGAAUAGAGGAAAUGGAAGACGAGUAAGAGAAACCAUCCUCCAUUUGAGAUAUCGUGACCCAGCUCUGUUUCCUUUGCUCUCUGUCUGAAGUUAAAAAAAACAAAAACAAAAACAAAACAAAACAAAACAAAAA
rnacentral:lncRNA from 1 species